CAAGUUUAUUUUCUUCCUCUUAAAAAAAUGCUUAGCACAGUACUGUAAAACAAAUUAUUAUAUUUGUUUUUUUUAAUAUGAAAUUUCUUGUCCAAUUGGUUUCCAUACAACACCCAGUGCUCAUCCCAACAAGUGCCCUCCUCAAUACCCAUCACCCACCCUCUCCUCCCUCCCACACCCCAUCAACCCUCAGUUUGUUCUCAGUUUUUAAGAGUCUGUUAUGUUUUGGCUCCCUCCCUCUCUAACCUUUUUUUUUUCCUUCCCCUCCCCCAUGCAAAUGUUUAUAUUUGUUACAAAACAGUAUAUUUAAAUAUUUGAUGGUGUAUUUAACUUCCAAUCCUGCAAAACUUUAGGCAGUGAGAAUAAGAUUUUAUUCCUUGGGCUCAUGCCACUGUGGCAUAUUACAUGGCAGGAGGAAACUAAGACUUUAAAUAAUGUUGAUAAUUUAUAUGCUGAGAAUUGAGAAAGGACAUGGGACCACUGAAACUUGAUUAAAUUAAUGUAAAGGAGUUCAUCUGAAAUAUCACUGUUUCUAACAAGAAAGACUAUAAACUUAUUAGGAAUUAAUUCCACGUGGAAAGCACACAAACACACAAAUCCAUUUGCCUGUACAAAAUAGUAUAAAAAUGAAAAGAAUCCUAGCUCACAGGAGACACUUGAAACAUUCCAUUACUUCAUUUUUAAGUUUUGCCUUCUUGGAGAAUAUCAAAUAAUGCCCUUUUCUUCAAAGUUAAUUUUGUCUGACAUCUUUUGCAUAGUAUUUGACUGGUAUACUCUGCCUCCCCAUUCUUCUGUUGAAAACCGUUCUGUGAGUAUAUGUAAAUUUUAGAUGUGUUUCUAAUAAACAACCUGUGGUAAGAUUUCACAUUUUUAUCCUAUGCGACGAAGCUGUGUGCUUUUCAGUCUGUGGUGAUGAAUUUGCCCUCCCUUACCCAGGAUCUCAUGUAGCCUCCAUCUGGAUGACUGACUGGCCUGAUAUUGGAGUCCGUAUUCAGGGAGAAAUAGGCUCUUUACACCAACAUGUGAAAUUCAUCAUCGCCAACGUGUAAAUCUGAUAAAAGCCUGACAUUGUAGACAUAAUCCAAGACCCUCCUUUGUAUGGAUCUCGCUGACCCAAGGAAGCUACUGAUGCACAGCUUUAGGCAAAAGUGAAAUGGAUUUAAUAGCAUCUACUCGUUGGCUUUGUUGUGAGAAAUAAAUCAGAAAAUGCAUAUAAUUCUGCAAAGGAUGCCUCGCACUUAACUAGGGUUCAAGAAAUAAUAUUGCCCUAGUGUUCCUCCAGAGAGACAGCGUGAUCAGGGGAGGGGCAGAGAGAUGGGGGAAGGACAGAGGAUCCAAAACAGGCUUCACAUUGACAUCAGCGAGCCUGAUGCGGGACUCAAACUCACCAACCACAAGAUCGUGACCCAAGCUGAAGUCAGAUGCUCAACCAACUGAGCCACCCAGUGUUUCUUUCCAACCUAGAGUGAGACAUUUACUCUAGCUUUGAUGAAAUACAAGAAGUGGAACUUGUUGGUCAAAACGUUGGACAAAACAGAUGGAGAAGUAAAGAAGUAUGUGACAUAAGACAUGCAGAAAUUUGGAUCUCUCCAAUUAAUCAUGGUUCACAGCUGACAAAAAGAGAGAAACUCCCAAGUUCCAUGCAGAAACCUCAUACUAUCUUCAAACCAAAAUCAAAGCAAAAAUUAUAUCAACUGAAUAUUAAAGCCAAGACUUUUUCUAUUGUGAACUUGGGUGACUAAAUCUAAGAAUGGACUGAUAAACAUUGCUGAGUGGUACACAUUGGAUGAAAUCAUUACCGUACCAUCAUCACUAAGAAAUGACAAUGCUGUCACCUGCAAGCAGGCCAUGAAAUGAUGAAGAAGAUCAAAAACUAGCUGGUCACAGCAUAAAGACCAUUGAAGAUGUGACAAGAGCAGGCUCCAGUGUGGUAGGAGAUGAUGUGAGUGGAGGAGAGAUUCUGAGAUGAGAAAGUCCUAACGAACUCUACAGACAACUCUUUCCGGAGGUUCUGCUGUGAGGGUUUGGGCUUCGGGCUGGAAGGGAAAGUCACGCAGCAGAUGGGCAUUAAAAGUGGAAAGAUCAAAGGGUGACAUCACUGGAACUCAAGGUCUAGGAGUGGAGGGCCAGGUGGACACCAGAAGUAUAAAGUUAAUACGGUGUUUUGCUGCUACCAGCAGGCAGGAAGACCAGAGCAAACACAGCUACACGUGCAGAAAUCCUCUAUCAGCUGUUGGUAAUUUGCUUGGAUUAUCCCAAAUGGCUUGCUUAAA